rnacentral:rRNA from 1 species
CGGAGGGUGCAAGCGUUAUCCGGAUUCACUGGGUUUAAAGGGUGCGUAGGUGGGCAAGUAAGUCAGUGGUGAAAUCUCCGGGCUUAACCCGGAAACUGCCAUUGAUACUAUUUGUCUUGAAUACUGUGGAGGUCAGCGGAAUAUGUCAUGUAGCGGUGAAAUGCUUAAAUAUGACAUAGAACACCAAUUGCGAAGGCAGCUGGCUACACAAAUAUUGACACUGAGGCACGAAAGCGUGGGGAUCAAACAGGAUUAGAUACCCUGGUAGUCCACGCCCUAAACUAUGGAUACUCGACAUUUGCGAUAAACUGCAAGUGUCUGAGCGAAAGCAUUAAGUAUCCCACCUGGGAAGUACGAUCGCAAGAUUG